GUCUACGGCCAUGCCACCCUAAAUAUGCCUGAUCUCGGAAGCUAAGCAGGGUCAGGCCUGGUUAGUACUUGGAUGGGAGACCACCUAGGAAUACCAGGUGCUGUAGGCA
rnacentral:rRNA from 1 species